rnacentral:tRNA from 1 species
GGCCCGCUGGCCAAGCACCCGGGCGGCCGCCUCGCGGGCGGUCGCGAACGCUUCCGGCAGCAGGUCGUCGAGGGUCUCACCCUCGGCCAGCCGC